rnacentral:rRNA from 1 species
CUGCUGCCUUCCGUAGGAGUUUGGUCCGUGUCUCAGUACCAAUGUGGGGGGUUAACCUCUCAGUCCCCCUAUGUAUCGUUGUCUUGGUGAGCCGUUACCCCACCAACUAACUAAUACAACGCAUGCCCAUCCAUUACCACCGGAGUUUUCAACCCAAGAAGAUGCCUCCCUGGAUGUUAUGGGGUAUUAGUACCGAUUUCUCAGUGUUAUCCCCCUGUAAUGGGUAGGUUGCAUACGCGUUACGCACCCGUGCGCCGGUCGCCGACGUAGA